rnacentral:lncRNA from 1 species
UUCAGCCUCUCCUGGGCCAGGAAUUACUUCCUUUUGGAAUUCUCUUUAUGGAAGGGAGAAAAAAGCAACUUCUCUCUGAGGUCUGGAAGCCUAGCUUCCCCAGUACCGCGCUCUCCCGGGGCAGGUUCUGGGUCACUGAGCCGUCCAAGGGAGGCAGGUCAGCAGGGGCUGAAGGCUCUGGAACCUCUGCCUUCCCUCAGGAAGCUACAGUGCUUGGCUCUCCCCCUCUGCCUUCCUAAACCUGGAAGGAGCGAUCUGGGGUACCAGCACAGCACUGGGCAUGCUCGCCAGCCAAGUCGGGUUCGGGUCGUCCGCAGGACACGCUGGCUUCUGUGUUUUCCUGUGCUCAGGGAGCUGGUGCAGCUGUGGUGCAUCGGGUUUCCAGAGCGGAACCCUUGGUGCGUGUAUCCAGGGAACGGAUCCACUCUUGGCCAACCGAGAGCGGAACUGAACUCUGCACCGCCCGGGGUUUGCGCGCUCAGUGUCUGGUCUUGGAAACGCCCGGUUGGGGUUCUGUCUGCAGACAAAGGGGUGCACGUGCCCCUGGCGCCCCUCUUUCGCAGCCGUGAACCCCUCCCUGGUCCCAUACUCCGCAGCCCCAGCAGCUGCAGCCCCAGCGCCACCACCCAGCUCCCGUGGCCGCGGCCUAUGCGCGCGCUCGGGGCCGGGGAUUGGCUCGCACUCCCCGUUCCCGGGCUGCGCUGGCGGGCGGGCGGGGGGUGCGCGGCGCUCUGUGUGUGUGUGUUUGUGUAUGUAUGUGUGCGCGCGCGCGCGCGUUCGUGUGUACAUGUGUGUGUGCGCGUGUGUCUGUGCGGCGCGCGGGCGGGUGCGUGUGUGCGCGCAAGGGCUCGCGUGCAGGAGCCACUGGAUGUGCGUGCGUGUGUUAUGGGUUUGAUUCCAGAGCAGGUUGCACAUUGGUCCUGGGUGGCUCGCAGGCUCAGGUCGUGCUUGGGCGUCCUCCUCCUAAUCGAUUUUGAAGUAGCAGCAGCAGCAGCAGCACCAGCAGCAGCAGCCGCCGCGGCAACCUCGGCAGCAGCAGCUCCGCGGCACAGCCGGCAGAACUGUGCAGAAGCGAGCACCGUUUGGGGAGUCCGGGGGGCGGUCACAUCCAGCUCUUUAUUGCCUAAGCAAUCUGGGGCUUGCUUUGUCACUUGGCUUUGCUGUGGAGCACUCCUGUAA